GGGGCGGGCCCAGUGUCCCCAUCUGGUGGACGAGGCCCAGAGAAGCCCGGUCAGAUGCUGAGUGGCUUUCCCGGGUUGGCCCCGGCUUCCCCUGGAGCAUCCAGCCUGGGCUGGCAGAGGCCGGGCCCCCUCCGGCUUCCUGCCCGGCGGCACAGGCUGUUGACUCAGCAGCAGUGCCGGACUCUGAACUUGCUGGAAGCGUGCAGGGGAGAUAAGCCGGGGCCCAGGCUCUCCCUCUAGGCCAGGCUGGGGACACUGCACUGCAGGCGGCAGGGGGUGGCUCUGCUGCUGGCCCCCUGCGGGCAGCCGGGGAGGAGGGCCUGGGGGCUGGGAGACCCCAAGCUCACCGCUGUGUGUCUGUGGGCAGGGACUUAGCCUCUCCACGGCUCACUUUUCCUCCUCUGGGAAGGCGUGGGGGCUGGGGACUGUUGAGAGGCCCAGGAGGCACCUGUGGGAAUCUGCACACCUGCGACAUGCCAGGCACGGACUUCAGCCAGAAGCUCCGCCCCAGAGCAGGCGACCGUGACCCAGAAGCUGAGGACCAGAGAGGCCGGGAGCUUGUCGGGGACACCCAGCCCAGACCCCGCACGGGUGGCGUUUGACCUCAGAGCAGAGCGAGCCGGCCAGGAGCUGGGGACGCCAGCGCUGCCUGAGAGCGCACGGAGGACGCGGCGGGCAGACACUGCGCCUGGCGGCAGGGACCCUGACCGCCCGCUGUCCUGUGUCCCUCGUGCCUGGCACACACAGCAGGCGCUCACCGCCCUGUUUCACGCAUGGACAGCCGGAGGCCUCGUCAUGACCUCAGAGCUGGGAGCCGGCGGGGACCACGGAAGGCGGCCAGGCACGGUGGCGCAGGCCUGGGUUUGAGUGUCGGCGCUGCUCGGCUUGCCUUGGGAGCCGGGCGAGUGGCUGACUGCUGCGUGCCUCGGUUUCCCCGUCUGUGAAGUGGGAGUGAGGAGAGGUUUGUGGGAGAUUAAACGCGGCACUAGAGAAUGUUGGCAGGUGGGGGCCGUCUCGGCAGCAGCUCAGGGAGGCUGGCUCGGGGGCGCCCGGCCUGGCCCCCGGUCCCGGUAUGGCCGCAGUCACGGGCCCCUGGCUCCGGCCCCGGUCCCGGCAUGGCCGCAGUGAGCCAGCGCAUGGGAGCUCGCGCGCUCUCCAAUAAGAAACGAACACAUUCUGGAACACCCGAUCCCCGGCCUCGGGACAGAGACACGAGACACCGGGCUAGUAUACAAUUCUGUAUUUAGCGACUCGUUGACAGAACGCGUUCCUUUUUUUUUUAAAUUUUAAACAAAGUUCAUCAAUCUCUCAUAGAAAUGGUUUGGUGUGGGUUUUUGCUCUCUGACCGUUUCGGGACGAGAACCUGACCAGGCUGUUCGGGGGUCCGUGAGCUUCAGGCACAACAGGAUCUGCGUGUUCUGGAGCCCGGGCCGAGUGCUGCGGCAAAUCCCGUCCCACUGAGGCCAGACGCAGGGCUCGCGGAACCCGAGUCAGCGUGGCGGCCUGGAUCGCGACGUCGUGUUGGUGUUGGGAAUAACAAGUGCUGGUCCCCCAUGCGUGUCCUGAUUGUUAACAGGGCGGCGGUGUCUCACUUGUUCCAGAUUUGACUACUCCGAGAAUUGGCCACUGUUUUCUAUUGUCAAAAUAUAAAAAUACCUUCAUCUGGAUAAAAAUGUAGACAGUGGAAAACUCUUCAAUGCAUAGCCUGGGUGAAGGGAGGAGGUUCUCCCGCAGGGUUCUUGCCGGCUGUUCAGCAUGGAGACUGCGGCCUGGGCUGGGUGCAUGAGAGCUGGGAUUUCUGCAACGGUCCUCACCUGUCCCCCUCUGGCCACCUCGCCUCCGUCGGCUCCCCCCAGCCCCCCGGCACUGCACUGGCACCGGCCGCGGUCACCUCUCCAUGGUUAUUCUUGGGAGUCGCCCAAGUCAGUCUUCCCACAGAGUUUGAGAAAGGAAAACAAACAAAAGCAAGAG
rnacentral:lncRNA from 1 species